UGUAGUUAUAUUUGUUUGUCCAGUAUCUUGUGAAGGAUAUUUAAGCGACUUUCCGUUCAGGAGAUCUUGGACGACUCUUGAAUGAUUAAGACAGCUAAUCCAAAUGGAGCCUACUGAAAUUAAAUUAUACAGUGAAAGAUGAAGAAGUUUUAAGAGAACGAAAUAGAAUAGAGAAAUCAGAAGAAAGCGUGAACUUUGAACCCACCAUUCCAAAUUCACCUACUAAGGAGUCCACUACAAAGGAUAAGGUGACCGAAGAACUAAUUACUAAUACUGAGAUAGAAGGUAUGGUAUGUUUGAUUACAAUCUUUAAUCUUUUAUGUGUGCCUCAAAUUAUGAAAAAUUAGUGCCAUAGUAAAGUCCCUUUCUUUCUUUGCGUCAUACGUCAAUGUGUCUGUUUUCAGUCCUUCAAAUUAAAAGAAAGAGAAGCUUCCUUUUCCUGAGUUGUAUGAAUAAAUAGAUCCUAAUCUGCUUACUGUGUACUGAAUAUGUUGCUUCAACUCCUCUACUUGAUUUUAUUUGCCAAAGUGUCUGUUUCUCUGCAUAAAAGAAACUUCCGCACCUAUUCAUGUUUUAUAAUAUCUUUGUAUCCUGAGAUGUUAUUGAGGUCAAGCAAUAUGUAGUCUCUACCGCGUGAUGUUUUAAUGGUGUUUUUCAGGAAGUGGGGGUAUUCCUCCCAGCUCUGCCCAAAAAGGAUAUUUAAAAGGAGCUUUCGAAGAAAAAAGUAGUUCAAGAGAACAUGUAAAUGAAGUUGCUGCUCCAGUGAAUUCUGCAGACAGCCCUAUAGAAAAUUUGACAUCUGCCUCAGAAGUUUGUAAACUUCUAAUGUUCAUGGAAGUCAAAUAUUGACGGAUUUGAUUACAUUGUCGUUGAACAAAUACCUAAUUUCCUUCUUUUUCCAAUUAUAAUCACCCUUUCUUGGGUUAUGGAUAAUCUUAAAAAAAGGCCUUGCUUACCAAUUGGCCUAUCCUGAAAUUUGCUGGUGAAUUUGAUACAAUGAUGAUAGUAGGCCUCUAUAUUCUGGAUUUGGCUGCAAGCAAUGUUGUCAGCCAUGUGGGCUUGCCGCUUGACACAACGUAUGGAUUUUGAAUAUGAGAAACUACGUUGUAGACCAAGAGAUUGAGAGAUGGAAGAGUUUACUGGUGUUAACUUCCUGAAAAGGAUGGAAAAUGGAACUCUGGCUUUUAUUGGGGAUUCCCUCAGUAGACAACAAUUUCAGUCACUUGUGUGUAUGAUUACUGGUGGUGAAGACAGACCUGAUAUUCUCGACGUGGGACGCGAAUAUGGUCUUGUAAAGGUUUGUGGUGCUAAACUACCUGAUGGAUGGGCUUAUCGAUUUUCGAGUACCCAAACAACUACUAACUUUACUUAUGAGGACACUAUUUUGAGGUAAUUUAGUAUAAUUUUAUCUUCCAUGCCAUUUGAUUGGUACAGGUAGCCUAAAAUUUGCUGAGUAAGCGCCAUGACCUGCAGAGCCUUUUCAUUGUUUCAUCUCCAUCGUCUAUUCACCUGUAUACCUCUUUAUUUUCCCCUUUACUUCUUGACUUCUCUGUGAAUUCUCCUGUUGGCAAUUGCAGAUAGUUUAUCCAUUUUUGUUCUAUUUGAAUUUGCUGCGAGCUCUUUAAUAUAGUUAGUUGUUUGUGCAUUUUUUUUUGGUAUAUUGCACUUCUUCUAUUGCUAAUCUAAAUUUUAGUUGGUAAAUGUUGGUUUUUUGCUGUUUUGCAUAAUUGUUGCUAGAGUUUUUACAUACAUAUCAGUAAAUAUUCCUGAUUUGCACAUUUAAUAGUUUUUUUUUUGAUGAAAUAUGUUCGUUUUCUGUUGUUUUGCCUAAUUCUGAUGAAAUAUGGAAGUCAGGGUACAAGAAGUACAAGAUAACAAAGAAGAAUAAUUACCUCAAUAAUGCAUCUAAGUGCUAGAAAAAAGAGCAAGGGAAAAGAAGACGACUUGGAGAAAAAAGUGUCGCAACUGCUGCAAUAAUGAUAGAGUACUAGAGAAGAAGUAUGCUGAUUAAUAAAGGUGAAACUAUGUGUGGUGUAUUCGUGUGUACUCGCACUCUUUUACUGGCAGGAGCUCUUUGGAGCAUGCUAAAUUUGAGCUUAUGGUAUAAUGAAGUACAAACAAAGAUGCAUGACACUGUUUAGAAAGUAAAAAGGAAACUUGAACUGGCAUAAUUGAUGGAUUCCAAAGAACCAAACAAGUGCUCAUAAAUAUACAGCUUAUUUUUUACUGUACAGCCUCAUAUAGGUACUCCCAGUUAUACGUGUGACUACUCUGCUUUACAGGAUAAGCUGAUUGCAAACUUUUUUGUAAAAUUACUUGCAUACUUGAACGCGAACAUCAGUGGAUAAAAGAGGUAUGCCUACAUCACAUUCAGAACAAAAGAACUACCCUAGCCUAGCCUGCACAGUAUUUCAGGAAUAAAGAGCGCACCCAUGAAGCUGGAUGAUAACUACAUCACAUACUGGAAAGCACACGCUUGAAAUUGGUUAACCACCAACGAGUAGUGGAUAAGAGGACCAGGUUGUGUAAAGAAAAUAGCAAAUAGUCAGACUGUUUUUAAGUAAUUUGCCAGAGCUCCCAUUUGUUCUGAGAAUAACCUUCUUAUUCGGACAAAGAGUCCGAUCAAAAGGCAAUGCCAUCUCGCCAACAAAUUCCACUAGAGACAGAACAAUGAAAAUGAUAGGAAUAAUAUCGUUUUCUCAAUGUAAGUGUGAAUUGUUUUAGAUGAAAGUGGUAGUGACCAUGUGCAUUAUGUUCCAUAUUCUGUAAAUUUCACUGAUUUAUCAACCCUCCAAGUUCUAACUUGAGAGCUUUGUGUUGGAA